rnacentral:rRNA from 1 species
GACGAACGUUGGCGGCGUGCUUAACACAUGCAAGUCGAACGGAAAGGCCCUGCUUUUGUGGGGUGCUCGAGUGGCGAACGGGUGAGUAACACGUGAGUAACCUGCCCUUGACUUUGGGAUAACUUCAGGAAACUGGGGCUAAUACCGGAUAGGAGCUCCUGCUGCAUGGUGGGGGUUGGAGAGUUUCGGCGGUUGGGGGUGGACUCGCGGCUUAUCAGCUUGUUGGUGGGGUAGUGGCUUACCAAGGCUUUGACGGGUAGCCGGCCUGAGAGGGUGACCGGCCACAUUGGGACUGAGAUACGGCCCAGACUCCUACGGGAGGCAGCAGUGGGGAAUAUUGCACAAUGGGCGGAAGCCUGAUGCAGCAACGCCGCGUGCGGGAUGACGGCCUUCGGGUUGUAAACCGCUUUCGCCUGUGACGAAGCGUGAGUGACGGUAAUGGGUAAAGAAGCACCGGCUAACUACGUGCCAGCAGCCGCGGUGAUACGUAGGGUGCGAGCGUUGUCCGGAUUUAUUGGGCGUAAAGGGCUCGUAGGUGGUUGAUCGCGUCGGAAGUGUAAUCUUGGGGCUUAACCCUGAGCGUGCUUUCGAUACGGGUUGACUUGAGGAAGGUAGGGGAGAAUGGAAUUCCUGGUGGAGCGGUGGAAUGCGCAGAUAUCAGGAGGAACACCAGUGGCGAAGGCGGUUCUCUGGGCCUUUCCUGACGCUGAGGAGCGAAAGCGUGGGGAGCGAACAGGCUUAGAUACCCUGGUAGUCCACGCUGUAAGCGGUGGGUACUAGGUGUGGGGUCCAUUCCACGGGUUCCGUGCCGUAGCUAACGCUUUAAGUACCCCGCCUGGGGAGUACGGCCGCAAGGCUAAAACUCAAAGGAAUUGACGGGGCCCCGCACAAGCGGCGGAGCAUGCGGAUUAAUUCGAUGCAACGCGUAGAACCUUACCUGGGUUUGACAUGGAUCGGGAGUGCUCAGAGAUGGGUGUGCCUCUUUUGGGGUCGGUUCACAGGUGGUGCAUGGCUGUCGUCAGCUCGUGUCGUGAGAUGUUGGGUUAAGUCCCGCAACGAGCGCAACCCUUGUUCACUGUUGCCAGCACGUUAUGGUGGGGACUCAGUGGAGACCGCCGGGGUCAACUCGGAGGAAGGUGGGGAUGACGUCAAGUCAUCAUGCCCCUUAUGUCCAGGGCUUCACGCAUGCUACAAUGGCUGGUACAGAGAGUGGCGAGCCUGUGAGGGUGAGCGAAUCUCGGAAAGCCGGUCUCAGUUCGGAUUGGGGUCUGCAACUCGACCUCAUGAAGUCGGAGUCGCUAGUAAUCGCAGAUCAGCAACGCUGCGGUGAAUACGUUCCCGGGGCU